GGGAUGGCAGCGGAUAUCCUUUUUUGUGAUGGGAAAAGCAUGGGAAAAAGAUAGCAGCGUACAGCCCG
rnacentral:sRNA from 1 species